rnacentral:tRNA from 1 species
GCCUCUAUGGCGGAAUUGGUAGACGCGAUAGACUCAAAAUCUAUUUUCCACAUGGAAGUGUCAGUUCAAGUCUGACUAGAGGCACCA